AUAACGGUCCUAAGGUAGCGAAAUUCCUUGUCGGGUAAGUUCCGACCCGCACGAAAGGCGUAAUGAUUUGAGCACUGUCUCGACAAUGCAUCCGGUGAAAUUGAAGUACCAGUGAAGAUGCUGGUUACCCGCGCCAGGACGGAAAGACCCCAUGGAGCUUUACUCCAGUUUGAUACUGGGAUUCGGUACUGCAUGUACAGGAUAGGUGGGAGACGGAGAAGGAUGGACGCCAGUCUGUCCGGAGUCGCUGUUGGGAUACCACCCCUGUAGUACUGGGUUUCUAACCAGUUGCCAUGAACUGGCAAUGGGACAAUGUCAGGCGGGGAGUUUGACUGGGGCGGUCGCCUCCGAAAGGGUAUCGGAGGCGCUCAAAGGUUCCCUCAGAAUGGUUGGAAACCAUUUGAAGAGUGCAAAGGCAGAAGGGAGCUUGACUGCGACACCGACGGGUGGAGCAGGUACGAAAGUAGGACUUAGUGAUCCGGUGGUAUAAAGUGGGAUUGCCAUCGCUCAACGGAUAAAAGCUACCCUGGGGAUAACAGGCUUAUCACUCCCAAGAGUUCACAUCGACGGAGUGGUUUGGCACCUCGAUGUCGGCUCAUCGCAUCCUGGGGCUGUAGCAGGUCCCAAGGGUUGGGCUGUUCGCCCAUUAAAGCGGUACGCGAGCUGGGUUCAGAACGUCGUGAGACAGUUCGGUCCCUAUCUGUCGUGGGCGUAGGAUAUUUGCAAGGAGCUGUCCCUAGUACGAGAGGACCGGGAUGGACGCACCUCUGGUGCACCAGUUGUCACGCCAGUGGCACAGCUGGGCAGCUAUGUGCGGAACGGAUAAACGCUGAAGGCAUCUAAGCGUGAAGCCGCCCUUAAGAUAAGAUAUCCCUUCUGUUUACAGAGUAAGACCCCUUGAAGACUACAAGGUUGAUAGGCUCAAAGUGUAAGCACGGUGACGUGUUUAGCUAGCGAGUACUAAUCGGUCGAGGGCUUAACCUU
rnacentral:rRNA from 1 species